rnacentral:rRNA from 1 species
CAACUUUCAACAAUGGAUCUCUUGGUUCUCGCAUCGUUGAAGAACGCAGCGAAAUGCGAUAAGUAAUGUGAAUUGCAGAUCUCAGUGAAUCAUCGAAUCUUUGAACGCACCUUGCGCUCUUUGGUAUUCCAAAGGGCAUGCCUGUUUGAGUGUCAUUA